ACACAAGGCAACCUGCCUAAAAGACUACAGACCCAUAGCACUCACGUCCGUAGCCAUGAAGUGCUGGUACUGUAAAUGUAUCCAUAUUGAAUGAAUGGAGUGAAAACAUUGUAGUAGUGAGAGAAAUACAUUGGAGAGUCAAGCCACAUCAUACCUUCUCCUGAAUACACCUGUUGUAUUCGGCGCACGUGACAAAUAAACUUUGAUUUGAGAAAUCCAAACGUUCCCAGGAGGAGGUAUGAUAUGUGGUUUGACUCUCCAAUGUAUUUCUCUCACUACUACAAUGUUUUCACUCCAUUCAUUCAAUAUGGAGAUACAUUUACAGUACCAGUCAAACGUUUGGACACCUCAUUCCAAUGUUCUUUAUUUUUACUCUUUUCUACAUUGUAGAAUAAUAGUGAAGAUAUCAAAACUAUGAAAUAACACACAUGGAAUCAAGUUGCAACCAAAAAGUGUUAAACCAAUCAAAAUAGAAAGUACAAGAACUUCACAAGACCCUCAGCGUAUGUCCUCCAUCAGUCUCCAAAAUAAUUCAAGGACGUCUCUUGUUCCUGAAAAACUGUUGUAGAAUAUCAAAAUGUUCUCUGCCUACUCAGAACCUGAAUAACUACUGCAGUCAAAUCGGUGACGACAGGCCUAAAUCCUUCUGCCAAUUUAUCCCGAACUCCAAAAUGCUUGUGACUGCCUCUUGAUGAGUCCCUCAGUCUCCUCUCAUUGCACUGCACAGACAGGAAUGGUCUUGAUGGUGUUUUAUAUCCAUAGCCAUCAAAUAAGCAUUUGUUAGAAGAAUUGUCCUUGUCGUCCUGACUUGUUUUUUGUUCUCUCUAGGAGUGGCCUGUGGAAUGUUCGACUUCACCCUUAUCCGUACUCUUCGGGAACACCUAUGUGGGGGCCAUCUGUUUCCAUCCUCAGGCCACAACACCUACGUGGGGGCCAUCUGUUUCCAUCGUCAGGCCACAACACCUACGUGGGGGCCAUCUGUUUCCAUCCUCAGGCCACAACACCUACGUGGGGGCCAUCUGUUUCCAUCCUCAGGCCACAACACCUACGUGGGGGCCAUCUCUUUCCAUCCUCAGGCCACUCUGACUAUGGAGGACUCUGAUGUUAACAUGGCCUCCUGUGCUGCCAAUGGCACCGUCAGACUCGAGUCUGUACAGUGAUGAGCCUGUCGCUGACAUCGAGGGCCACUCCUGAGGGUAGCACGAGUAGCCUGGCACCCCUGUGGACGCUUCCUGGGCACCACCUGGCCCAGGAGGAGAUCCUGCACCAGGAGGGACACAGUAAAGGAGUCCACGACCUGCACUUCCACCCUGACGACUCUGUGGUAGGCACUGGGGGUCUGGAUUCGUUUGGGCGUAUUUGGGACCUUCGGACCGGUGCUGUGUGAUGUUCCUGGAGGGCCAUCGCAGAGAUUUACAGCAUCGACUUCUCUCCCAACAGCCAAUGAUGGUCACUUCAUCCUGACCUGGGCCUGUGACAACACAGCCAAGGUGUGGACCCACCAGGGCGCGCCAAGAGGGCAAGGUGAUGUCCCCUGACGGACAACUCAUCGCCACCUGCUCCUACGACCUGCACCUUCAAACUCUGCAUGUCAGAGUGAGCAGGGGAGGGAGUAUCACCCAUAAAAAGAGAAUGGCAUUCUAUGGUACCUUCUAUUUCUAUGGUAAUACCGAACUGUCAUCCCAUACAAAUAGAUCAUAAAAUAUUAGCAUUUUCACGAUUGACGGAUGAGUCUUUGAACAUCCUAAAUAUUCUGAAUUGUACACUUGUCUGAUUUACAUUUAGUAGAUGGUUAAAUUAUUAUUGAACAACAACGUUAGUCUCUUGAUGUCUACAACUUUGAAGCUGUCCUUUCUCCCAGAUAAUUUGUUCAAUAAUAUGUUUUAGGUGAUUUGUAAACAUGAGUCAGUUGGCGUCAGAAGUCGAUCCUUUUGUCUAGUUUUUAAUAAAAA